CGGUGUUCAACUGGUGUGUCCGCGGGACGUCCUGCCGGUGGACUUAGCCCCGCAAGGGCGGCCCAACUUCAAAUCUCAUCGCGGUGCUCUUCACUGAGUGUCGAGGUGGGCCGGCACGUUUACUUUGAACAAAUUAGAGUGCUUAAAGCAGGCUAAAACUGAAUACUGUGUGCAUGGAAUAAUGGAAUAGGACCUCGGUCCUAUUUUGUUGGUUUUCGGAACCCCGAGGUAAUGAUUAAUAGGAACGGAUGGGGGCAUUCGUAUUGCGACGUUAGAGGUGAAAAUCUUGUAUCGUCGCAAGACGGACAGAAGCGAAAGCAUUUGCCAAAAACGCUUUCAUUGAUCAAAAACGAAAGUUAGAGGUUCGAAGGCGAUCAGAUACCGCCCUAGUUCUAACCAUAAACGAUGCCAGCUAGCGAUCCGUCGACGUUCCUCCAAUGACUCGACGGGCAGCUUCCGGGAAACCAAAGCUGUUGGGUUCCGGGGGAAGUGUGGUUGCAAAGCUGAAACUUAAAGGAAUUGACGGAAGGGCACCACAAGGAGCGGAGCCUGCGGCUUAAUUUGACUCAACACGGGAAACCUCACAAGGCCCGGACACCGGAAGGAUUGACAGAUUGAGAGCUCUUUCUUGAUUCGGUGGGUGGUGGUGCAUGGCCGUUCUUAGUUGGUGGAGCGAUUUGUCUGGUUGAUUUCGAUAACGAACGGGACUCUAGCCUGCUAACUAGGCGUAUUUUCGACAUCUCAAAGGUCCGUCGUCCCGGCCCUCGGGUCGUGGGCGUGCGCGAUUUUUACUGUCGGCGUACUAUCAAUUCUUCUUAGAGGGACAGGUGGCUUCUAGCCGCACGAGAUUGAGCAAUAACAGGUCUGUGAUG
rnacentral:rRNA from 1 species